rnacentral:rRNA from 1 species
GUCCAGACUCCUACGGGAGGCAGCAGUGAGGAAUAUUGGUCAAUGGUCGGGAGACUGAACCAGCCAAGCCGCGUGAGGGAGGAAGGUACAGAGUAUCGUAAACCUCUUUUGUCAGGGAACAAAGGCGGGGACGUGUCCCCGGAUGAGUGUACCUGAAGAAAAAGCAUCGGCUAACUACGUGCCAGCAGCCGCGGUAAUACGUAGGGGGCAAGCGUUAUCCGGAUUUACUGGGUGUAAAGGGAGCGUAGACGGCGCUGCAAGUCCGGAGUGAAAGCCCAUGGCUUAACCAUGGUACUGCUCUGGAAACUGUGGAGCUUGAGUGCGGGAGGGGCAGGCGGAAUUCCUAGUGUAGCGGUGAAAUGCGUAGAUAUUAGGAGGAACACCGGCGGCGAAGGCGGCCUGCUGGACCGUAACUGACGUUGAGGCUCGAAAGCGUGGGGAGCAAACAGGAUUAGAUACCCCAGUAAU